GACGAACGCUGGCGGCGUGCUUAACACAUGCAAGUCGAACGGAAAGGCCCUGCUUGCAGGGUACUCGAGUGGCGAACGGGUGAGUAACACGUGGGUGAUCUGCCCUGCACUUCGGGAUAAGCCUGGGAAACUGGGUCUAAUACCGGAUAGGUGCCAUUUUUAGUGUGAUGGUUGGAAAGUUUUUUCGGUGUAGGAUGAGCUCGCGGCCUAUCAGCUUGUUGGUGGGGUAAUGGCCUACCAAGGCGGCGACGGGUAGCCGGCCUGAGAGGGUGGACGGCCACAAUGGGACUGAGGUAAGGCCCAAGCUCCCACGGGGGGGAACCGGGGGGAAUAUUGCACAAUGGGCGCAAGGCUGGUGCAGCGACGCCGCGGGGGGGAUGACGGCCUUCGGGUUGGAAACUCCUUUCGCUAGGGACGAAGCUGUUUGUGACGGUACCUAGAGAAGAAGCACCGGCUAACUACGUG
rnacentral:rRNA from 1 species